rnacentral:rRNA from 1 species
AGGACGAACGCUGGCGGCGCGCUUAACACAUGCAAGUCGAGCGAGAACCCAGGCUUCGGUCUGGGGGAAAGCGGCGAACGGGUGAGUAACACGUGGGUAAUCUGCCCUCGACAUCGGGAUAGCCCGGGGAAACCCGGAUUAAUACCGAAUGGCCCAUCAGCUUUUCGAAGCGGAUGGAAAAGGUAGCUUCGGCCUCCGGUCGAGGAGGAGCCCGCGGCGGAUUAGCUUGUUGGUGAGGUAACGGCUCACCAAGGCUUCGAUCCGUAGCUGGUCUGAGAGGACGAUCAGCCACACUGGGACUGAGAUACGGCCCAGACUCCUACGGGAGGCAGCAGUGGGGAAUAUUGGACAAUGGGCGCAAGCCUGAUCCAGCAAUGCCGCGUGAGUGAAGAAGGCCUUAGGGUUGUAAAGCUCUUUCGGCGGGACGAUGAUGACGGUACCCGCAGAAGAAGCCCGGCUAACUCCGUGCCAGCAGCCGC